AGUGAACGCUGGCGGUAGGCCUAACACAUGCAAGUCGAACGGCAGCACAGUAAGAGCUUGCUCUUACGGGUGGCGAGUGGCGGACGGGUGAGGAAUACAUCGGAAUCUACUUUUUCGUGGGGGAUAACGUAGGGAAACUUACGCUAAUACCGCAUACGACCUACGGGUGAAAGCAGGGGAUCUUCGGACCUUGCGCGAUUGAAUGAGCCGAUGUCGGAUUAGCUAGUUGGCGGGGUAAAGGCCCACCAAGGCGACGAUCCGUAGCUGGUCUGAGAGGAUGAUCAGCCAAACUGGAACUGGGACCAGGUCCAGACUCCUACGGGAGGCAGCAGUGGGGAAUAUUGGACAAUGGGCGGAAGCCUGAUCCAGCCAUACCGCGUGGGUGAAGAAGGCCUUCGGGUUGUAAAGCCCUUUUGUUGGGAAAGAAAAGCAGCAGGUUAAUACCCCGCUGUUCUGACGGUACCCAAAGAAUAAGCACCGGCUAACUUCGUG
rnacentral:rRNA from 1 species